GGAACUCCUUCAUUCCAAAAGUUCAGAUGAUCAGUUGGCCUGGGACCUGAACACCAAUGAUUCCAGCACACCUGACUCACUACAUCAAGACCAAUUUGUCCAUUAUGUGUGUCAGUAUGUCUCGGGACUCUCUGAGGAGCAGUUCCAGCUGUUUCUGGAACACCUCUCCCUGUGUAGCCGGGAACACGGCUGUGCUGAGAAUUUGAGGCUGUGGACAGAGACGCUCUCUCAGGCCUUCUCCCACUGUGACUGUACUAAGGUGACUGACUGCUCAUCUGC